CCUACGGGAGGCAGCAGUGGGGGAUAUUGAACAAUGGGGGAAACCCUGAUGCAGCGACGCCGCGUGAAGGAAGACGGCCUUCGGGUUGUAAACCUCUGUUGCCGGGGACGAAGGAAGUGACGGUACCCUGUGAGGAAGCCACGGCUAACUACGUGCCAGCAGCCGCGGUAAUACGUAGGUGGCGAGCGUUGUCCGGAAUUACUGGGUGUAAAGGGAGCGUAGGCGGGAGUGCAAGUAGAAUGUAUAAACUAGGGGCUAAACUGAUAGAAGCGUUCGAAACUGUAGUUCUUGAGUGACGGAGAGGCAGGCGGAAUUCCUAGUGUAGCGGUGAAAUGCGUAGAUAUUAGGAGGAACACCAGUGGCGAAGGCGGCCUGCUGGGCUUUAACUGACGCUGAGGCUCGAAAGCGUGGGUAGCAAACAGGAUUAGAUACCCUUGUAGUC
rnacentral:rRNA from 1 species